rnacentral:rRNA from 1 species
UACGUAGGGUCCGAGCGUUGUCCGGAAUUACUGGGCGUAAAGAGCUCGUAGGUGGUUUGUCGCGUUGUCCGUGAAAACUCACAGCUCAACUGUGGGCGUGCGGGCGAUACGGGCAGACUGGAGUACUGCAGGGGAGACUGGAAUUCCUGGUGUAGCGGUGGAAUGCGCAGAUAUCAGGAGGAACACCGGUGGCGAAGGCGGGUCUCUGGGCCGAUGACUGAC